rnacentral:rRNA from 1 species
UACGUAGGUGGCAAGCGUUAUCCGGAUUUACUGGGCGUAAAGGGAGCGUAGGCGGUUCGGUAUGUCGAAUGUGAAAGCCCACAACUCAACUGUGGAAUGGCAUUCGAAACUACCUGGCUAGAGUACUGGAGAGGAGAGCGGAAUUCUUGGUGUAGCGGUGAAAUGCGUAGAUAUCAAGAGGAACACCGGUGGCGAAGGCGGCUCUCUGGACAGAUACUGACGCUGAGGCUCUAAAGUUAGGGGAGCAAACAGGAUUAGAUACCCCGGUA